rnacentral:rRNA from 1 species
GGGGAAUUUUGGACAAUGGGCGCAAGCCUGAUCCAGCCAUGCCGCGUGAGUGAAGAAGGCCUUCGGGUUGUAAAGCUCUUUCAGACGGAAAGAAAUCUCUCGGGUUAAUACCCUGUUCGGAUGACGGUACCGUCAUAAGAAGCACCGGCUAACUACGUGCCAGCAGCCGCGGUAAUACGUAGGGUGCGAGCGUUAAUCGGAAUUACUGGGCGUAAAGCGUGCGCAGGCGGUUUUGUAAGACAGGCGUGAAAUCCCCGGGCUCAACCUGGGAAAUGCGCUUGUGACUGCAAGACUAGAGUACGGCAGAGGGGGGUGGAAUUCCACGUGUAGCAGUGAAAUGCGUAGAGAUGUGGAGGAACACCAAUGGCGAAGGCAGCCCCCUGGGUCGAUACUGACGCUCAUGCACGAAAGCGUGGGGAGCAAACA